rnacentral:rRNA from 1 species
UGGGUGGUAAGCCGGAUGCUCCGCCCCACCGCAUGGUGGGGUGGGAAAUGCUUUUUGCGGCAUGGGAUGGGGUCGCGUCCUAUCAGCUUGUUGGCGGGGUGAUGGCCCACCAAGGCGUUGACGGGUAGCCGGCCUGAGAGGGUGACCGGCCACAUUGGGACUGAGAUACGGCCCAGACUCCUACGGGAGGCAGCAGUGGGGAAUAUUGCACAAUGGGCGCAAGCCUGAUGCAGCGACGCCGCGUGCGGGAUGGAGGCCUUCGGGUUGUAAACCGCUUUUGUUCAAGGGCAAGGCACGGCUUCGGGCCGUGUUGAGUGGAUUGUUCGAAUAAGCACCGGCUAACUACGUGCCAGCAGCCGCGGUAAUACGUAGGGUGCGAGCGUUAUCCGGAUUUAUUGGGCGUAAAGGGCUCGUAGGCGGUUCGUCGCGUCCGGUGUGAAAGUCCAUCGCCUAACGGUGGAUCUGCGCCGGGUACGGGCGGGACCUGGGUGCGGUAGGGGAGACUGGAAUUCCCGGUGUAACGGC